UACGUAGGGUGCAAGCGUUGUCCGGAAUUAUUGGGCGUAAAGAGCUCGUAGGCGGUCUGUCGCGUCGGCUGUGAAAUCCCGAGGCUCAACCUCGGGUCUGCAGUCGAUACGGGCAAACUGGAGUGUUGCAGGGGAGACUGGAAUUCCUGGUGUAGCGGUGAAAUGCGCAGAUAUCAGGAGGAACACCGGUGGCGAAGGCGGAUCUCUGGGCAUUUCCUGACGCUGAGGCGCGAAAGCGUGGGGAGCAAACGGG
rnacentral:rRNA from 1 species